rnacentral:rRNA from 1 species
AGUAACGCGUAGGAACGUACCCCAAAGUGAGGGAUAACUGCUCGAAAGAGUAGCUAAUACCGCAUGUGCUCUAAGGAGUAAAGCUUUAUGUGCUUUGGGAACGGCCUGCGUCUGAUUAGCUUGAUGGUGAGGUAAAAGCUCACCAUGGCGACGAUCAGUAGCUGGUCUGAGAGGAUGAUCAGCCAGACUGGGACUGAGACACGGCCCAG